rnacentral:rRNA from 1 species
GAUCCUGGCUCAGGAUGAACGCUAGCUACAGGCUUAACACAUGCAAGUCGGGGGGCAGCAUGACGAUAGCUUGCUAUUGUUGAUGGCGACCGGCGCACGGGUGAGUAACGCGUAUCCAACCUGCCCUUGUCCAUCGGAUAACCCGUCGAAAGGCGGCCUAACACGAUAUGCAGUUCUCAGCAGGCGAUCUAACGAGAACGAAAUGUAAAGGAGAAGGAUGGGGAUGCGU